rnacentral:rRNA from 1 species
GUUGAUCCUGCCGGAGGUUACUGCUAUCGAGGUUCGACUAAGCCAUGCGAGUCGAAUGUAGCAAUACAUGGCGUACUGCUCAGUAACACGUGGACAACCUACCCUUGGGACGGGGAUAAACCCGGGAAACUGGGUAUAAUACCCGAUAGUCCUCAACUGCUGGAAUGCAUCGAGGUCGAAAGCUCCGGUGCCCAAGGAUGGGUCUGCGGCCUAUCAGGUAGUAGUGGGUGUAGCGUACCUACUAGCCUACGACGGGUACGGGUUGUGAAAGCAAGAGCCCGGAGAUGGACUCUGAGACACGAAUCCAGGCCCUACGGGGUGCAGCAGGCGCGAAAACUUUACAAUGCUGGAAACAGCGAUAAGGGAACCUCGAGUGCCAGGUUACAAAUCUGGCUGUCGUGAUGCCUAAAAAGCAUUGCAUAGCAAGGGCCGGGCAAGACCGGUGCCAGCCGCCGCGGUAACACCGGCGGCUCGAGUGGUAACCGUUAUUAUUGGGUCUAAAGGGUCUGUAGCCGGCCGGAUAAGUCUCUUGGGAAAUCUGGCAGCUUAACUGUCAGGCUUUCAGGAGAUACUGUCCGGCUCGAGGCCGGGAGAGGUGAGAGGUACUUCAGGGGUAGGGGUGAAAUCUUGUAAUCCUUGAAGGACCACCAGUGGCGAAGGCGUCUCACCAGAACGGACCUGACGGCAAGGGACGAAAGCUAGGGGCACGAACCGGAUUAGAUACCCGGGUAGUCCUAGCCGUAAACGAUACUCGCUAGGUGUCGGCCACGGUGCGACCGUGGUCGGUGCCGUAGGGAAGCCGUGAAGCGAGCCACCUGGGAAGUACGGCCGCAAGGCUGAAACUUAAAGGAAUUGGCGGGGGAGCACCACAAC